AAUUAACUCUCAUUACACUAAUUAGUCAAGAAGAGGUCUAAGGCAAGGAAAUAUGUUACCGGUCCGUACGAUCGUUGUUUUGGAGCAAAACCUCAACUGCAGUCUGCAUCGCUGACUUCUCUGAUUCGUCGAACUCUUCCAACGGCGUCGCUCUGAUCUCUCCGCCGAGCAAAGCCGACGCGAAGUCCGUAAGAAAGCAUUUCUUGAGCAAGACCGCCGUUUGCGGUGCCGAUUUACUGGACUCGUCCACCAACGGCGUCGCUCCCUCUUCACGGAGGAGGAUGAGCUUCGAGGCCGCCAUGAAUUGCUUGGCGUGAUUCAGUCAUUCAGGCUUAGUAUCUUGAAAAGCCGACUCCAAAGGCGUCUGUCCGAGCUCUCCGUCGAGAAAUGCCAACGCGCGGUCCGGCGAUUCGACAUUGUAGUAGAGUAGAUGAGCUUCGAGGUCUCCGCGGAUCGCUUGGCGUAAGUCACGCAUUCAGGCUUCUUGUGAUGGAAAACGAACUCCAAAGGCGUCUUUCCGAGCUCAUAGAGAACUUUGCUGGAAUCAAACAUUGUCAUCUGAGAGAAGUUAAGUUCAAGGAUUUCAAUAUACGCCAUGUGAGAUCGAGCUUGCCAUUUGUAUCCUGAGAAAUGCAAUAAUGCUCGAGAAAAUGGUAAUCGAUCCCUACGGAAAAUACUAUGAUGGUGCUGGAGUGUGGGUGGAGGCCUUGUAUUAUGAAUCAAAUUCACUUUGGAAAGAAAAAGGCAGGGCACUACUCCAUGAAAAGCUAAAGGAAGUAAUGACCUACGCUCAAAUUAUCAUUCUGUAAGAUGAUAGUUCAAGACUGCCGAUUUGUUUGUAAAUUUUAGUGUAAAUUACUUUACUAAAAUAAUUGUUAUUAGAGUAUGCUAAAUGAACGUGUGAUGAUGACACGAUUUCAUAUUAAUGCUAAACAGCGAGAUAAUUUUUCUUGAUUUAGGAUACUUGUCGGUUUUUCCAUGAGAUAAAAAAUCAUGGUCUUCUUCAUGCUUUUAAUCGAAGUUCUGUCCGAUCACUGCCAAGCGAAGAAUCAUCGAGGAAUUGACACUAAACAAAGAGAAGAGGGUCGAGGAGCAUUUCAUUUUAGCAACAAAACUUUACAACAAAGCAUCGAGAAUCGACAUUGACAAGCCUUGUACUUGGGUUAAUAUUUGGGAAAGGUGUGGAUGCCAUGCCAGCCACAGAGCCUCGUAACGUUAUUAUUGUACCUGACUGAAGGUUUUAUUGCUACGUACCUACUUAGAGCCUGUGAUCAUUCAUAAAUGAUAAAUGAACUUCCCAAAGGCAAUGGCUUUCUGUUGGAUUUUGCAUUUAGGGUGUGCUGAGACUCGCUUAGUAGUUGAUCGAUAGUUUGUCAUCCUCGAAACUGUUUGAUUUGGAAUCAUAGAGCCUGUAAUAUCUGGUUUUGUGUUCUUGUUCUUGUCGCGGUCGUGAAGUAACGAAACUCUUUGUGUUGCAGUUUCAUGUUUUGAGACUUGCCAGUUUAAUUCUAUGUGUUUAUCAUUCUCUAUGAGCUAGUUAGGCCCAGCCCAGACUCAGUGUUACCCCACUUUGUUUCUCACUUUCCCUGCCCUGCCGUCUCUGACUGUCUCCUUUUCCGAGUUUUCUCCCAAUUCCAAAAUGCUGCAAGUGCUUAAAAUUUGAAUUAUUAAUUCAUAAUUUAAUAUAAAAUUUUGCAAGUGAUAUAGAAUUAUAUGAUAAUUGAUGUAUAAUUGUUGUUGUUGAUGAAUUGAAUUAUUUGAUUUCAUUUCAAAGUUCAAGGUCCAACUUUUUUCCUGCAUCCUGUUAGGAAUUUGGAUGCCGAUUUCCGUUUUGUUAGACUAUGUAUUAGUGAUUUUGUAAUAUAUAUAAUAGAUGUUAGGGUUUUUAUAAUAAUAUGUGUUGGAAUGAUAAUUUUGAUAGGAAAUUUUUGUUAUAUCAUGUGUAGGCAAUUUUACAUCCUUGGUUUUCAAUUUUACAAAUUGGAAAGACAAAUGGUGUUGGAUUUUGAAGUUUAUUCUGCCAUAUUAUACUGGUGUUAUUCUGAUCAUAUAUGAAGACUUCUUGACUGAUAAAUGUGGAUGGGUUUAUUGGUAUCUUGUGCGAAAAUUUGUGACAAAAGAUUGUUAUGCAUUGGAACUGUUUGAGAAAAUGUCUGAGAGAGGGAGUGAAGACCAUAUGGAAAUAUCUCAUCGGAGAGACCUCUACAAUUUCGAGAACACUAAUUGUAUCUGGAAUUCCUGUAGCUGCACAAUUAUUGUUGAGCUUUUAGUAAGAACCUAUAAAAUCGAUGGCUGCCAUUGAGUCCAUUGCUUUUUUUUUUUUUUUUUUUUUUUGAAGAAGAAGAAGAAGAAAGGAUUCAUUACCAAGGCACAAAGGCCAGCCAAGAACAAAGAAAGCCGAAGACGGCUAAUGGAACUGGGAAACCGACAGACCCCAACAGAACAAGAUUACUUUAUUGCUUUACUAUGGUGGAAGAAUUGAUUACGGAAAACAAUAUCGUGAAAGGUGUUGGCAUAUAGUGAAUGGUGAAGGGCUGCUGGGCAAAUGGGAAGUUGUGGGUCAAUUUAUUGUGUAUUUUUUAUGGAUCAAUUUAUUUUUAUUACUUUCAAUUUUGGUUUUUGUUUAGUUGCUUUGAUUAUGUUAAUAAAUAUCAAAUUUGGUAUACUUUUUGGGUUAAACUUUUGAGGAGGUUGUUUAGUUUGUUUGUCAAUGUGAUUGACAUGAAACAUUAAUUACUUGUCUUUGUGGAUUUGUAGAUGGAUACCGGUGAAGAUUUCGAAAGUGUUUUUAUGGAAAUGUUGCAUAGGGUGAUUUGUGUUGGCCACUCUUUGCUUUGUGUUGGCCAAUCCUUACAAGUUCAAGACUGCUACACCAAAACAAAUUAGAGAGUUAAUGAAGGUUGAUGGGCUUACUAAUGAUGAAGGCAAAAGCCAUUUGCAGGUUUGUAUAUGUGGUUAUCCAUCUGUUUUGGAUCAUAAUUUGGUUGAUGUGAAUAAAAUUUUACACGUACAUGACAAAAAUUGGAAGCCAUUUUGUAUGCUAUUAGUGAUGAAUUUUUUACACAUACGUGUGAUUAUCCUCGUUAAAUAAUUUUUUUUAAACAUAUGU